rnacentral:lncRNA from 1 species
UUAACGUUACUAUUAUUUAGUUUUGUAAUAGGAACAUAAUUAAAAUUUUAAAAAUUAGAUGAGGACAAAACAGUCAGUUCAGUUCGUACAAAGGGAAUCCCAUUCUUAAUUCAUGAUGAGAAUGAAAUUCUCAUUCGGCCAUUCCCUUUUCGCAAUCAAUCUCACACUAUUCUCUCAUCUCCAGCUUUGAUACAAAAUAUAAAGAAUAAUGCUCCACAUAUCUCUCAAUUUCGGUGGGAAAUAGAGAAGAAAUAGAGAAGAAGUUUCACCCCUCCUUCAUGCAUCAUGAAUAUGAAUGCUUCUCUAUCGAGUCUAUAUAGAGCAAACGUCAAUUAGAUUAGCGAACCAGUCAUUUACACCCAGCAAAUAUUUUGCUGAGAACAAAUCAUGAGUGGUACUACUCCUGAGAAAGACCCUUCUCCCGAGCAGAAGCCUGAUGAAACCCAAACAGAAAUCACACCGAUCCAAGCCACUCAUCCACCAAAAUCAAAGGAUGAAUCGCCAGACCAAAACCAACAAAGCCAAUGCCAAUUACGCCCGCCACAACAAUCAGAAUCAAAGCGCAAGGGCAAAGGGACCAGUGACGAGCUCAGGAUAACAAUUCCUGAUGCAGUUUUUUAUGAUAAAAUGCGGGAAACAGACGGGAUGAGAUUUUUUAAUCCGCCCUUUGAACGAAAGUCAGAGUGGAUGGAGCCAGAGUUUACAUACUUCCCAAAGUACUCCCAAUCACAAAAUCCGCAAAACACUAUUCAAACGGGUCCUAUUCAACCCGGCGGGUCAAAUCCGGUGCAAGGGAACCCUCCCUCUCGGCCGUGGCGCCGAGUCAAGAAGCUUUUAUGCCUUUGUAUUUAAGCUUUUUUCACAUCCAGUGACAAAGCGUAACCAAAAGAGUGGCAAUGAAUUAAAUAUUCAUCGUCUAAUCUCCCACGGGACGGGAGAUAAGUUUCUGAGUUGUUUAUUCUAUUCUACUAGUUUACUAGCUGUGUUAUUUAUUUGAGCAAUUUUAUGUUAUUCUCAGACUAGUGCUAGCUGAAUAUAUAUAUAUAAUAAUAAUGCUAUAUAUUUUAAAUUUUUUUAUUACAAUAAUUCUAAAUGAAGUAAUGUUCAUCAAUUAAUCAGUAAACUAAUACAAUUAAUUCUUAGAUCUUAUAAAAAAAUUAUCAAUCACUUAUUCACUUAAUAAAUAACAUAUUAUUUAGGGUAAAAUUAUUAACUAUAAUACAACAUUAUUAUGUAUAUAUAAUAUAUUAUCUAUUAUUGAAAUACAUCAUCAGCGUUUAAAAUAAUUUACUAUAACACACCGCAAUUGCAUAAAAUAACUUAAAUUAUUUUUUAUCUAAUCAAUUAAUAAAUAUUUUAAAUCAUCAAAAAAUGGAAGAAAUACAAAUAAUUUUGGAAUUAAAAUUAUUAUGUAUUAAUUCUCUUACUUUACAAUUUUUCUUUUUCUUUUUUACUUUUACAUUUAGUAUCAAAAAUAUAUUUAAUAGCAUUAAAAUAAAUUUAAUUAACAAGUAAUGUUAUUUCAAUAAUACUUUAUAUAAAGAUAUUACAUAAAGUCUUCUAAUAAUUUGUAUUGUAUGAAUUUAAUUACAAACUACUAAUACCUAAACAAUAAUGAUAAUAGAAGGCAUUGUAAUAAAAUAUUUUAUAUAUGUUUAAUUAGUAAUACUAUGAGUCACAACAAAUGAGAAAUAUUUUAUUCACCAAUUAAAAAAAUAUGGCUAUACAAAUAUAUAGUGAGAAAUAUUUUGAUUUACAUUUUUAACAAAAAAUUAAACUAUUAAUUUCAUGCAAUUCAAUGUUGGAGGGUAUGACAUUAUGAAAUGUUGUUUUGACUUUCAAUAUUAAACAUUAGACUAUGGUAUAUUAAUGGCUCAAAUAUUGUGUCAAAAUUUUAAAUUAAAGUAUCCCAAAACAUGUCUUUAAAUAUUAAUGGAUUUAAUAUUUUAUUUAUUGUCACUAUUACUUAUCAUAAUAAAAGCAAUGGCUCUUAGUAACAUAAAAAUUUUAUAAUUACAAUCAAAGAAUAAUAAUAAAAUAAUAUUUCAUGAUUCAUAAACUAAAGUUAAUUAGGUAUAUGUGUUAGAUUAAACUUUUAUGAAAUUAACAAAGUGACAUUUGAAAAUAAAAUGAAAACAAGCUUGUGAAAGUUAAAUUUUAUAAGGCUUCGAUAAUUUUCUAUCAUGUAAAUAAAAAUAUAAAAAGAUUUCCUUUCCCAUUUUUUCCACGUAAAUAUUAUUGGAGGCAAUAUUUUAUUCAUUGUCACUAGUAAUUACGUAAUAAAAGUAAUGAUUCUUAGUAACAUAAAAUUUUAUAAUUACAAUCAAAGGGAUGUCAAUAAAAUAAUCUUUUAUGAUUCAUAAACUAAAGCUCAUUAGGAAUAUAUAUUAGACUUAAUUUUUAUGAAAUUAACAAAAGUGAUAUUUGAGAAUAAAAUGAAAAUAUAUAGGCUUGUAAAACUUAAAAUUCCUAUCAUGUAAGAAUAUUAAAUGGGUGUUAAAAAUAAUCUAUACUUCAUGAUCAAUUGUAAAAUGGUCUUUAGUAUUAUAUAAAAUAAUGAGCAUUUUAAUAUGCAAUUUUAAAUUUUAUUAAAACAUGAGUGAUCAAAUAGUUUUUAGGUUACAAGCAAUCUCACCAAUGAGUUUAUUGAUGUAGCUAUGACGUUUAUUUAGUUAUAUGUACUUAGUUGUGUUAUUUA